UUGAAUAGAUUAAGAGAAAUCCGGAUUACAAAAAAAAGUCAGGAACACAGUGUCUACGGAAUAAAACUUUGAUAAACGAAAAUGUAAAGUACAUGCUACUUAUA
rnacentral:sRNA from 1 species